UACGUAGGGUGCAAGCGUUGUCCGGAAUUAUUGGGCGUAAAGAGCUCGUAGGCGGUUCGUCGCGUCGGCUGUGAAAACCUGAGGCUCAACCUCAGGCCUGCAGUCGAUACGGGCGGACUUGAGUACUGCAGGGGAGACUGGAAUUCCUGGUGUAGCGGUGAAAUGCGCAGAUAUCAGGGAGGAACACCGGUGGCGAAGGCGGGGUCUCUGGGCAGUAACUGACGCUGAGGAGCGAAAGCGUGGGGAGCGAACAGG
rnacentral:rRNA from 1 species